GGAAGCUACCAUGCAGUCGAGCGGUAGCACAGAGAGCUUGCUCUCGGGUGACGAGCGGCGGACGGGUGAGUAAUGUCUGGGAAACUGCCUGAUGGAGGGGGAUAACUACUGGAAACGGUAGCUAAUACCGCAUAACGUCGCAAGACCAAAGUGGGGGACCUUCGGGCCUCAUGCCAUCAGAUGUGCCCAGAUGGGAUUAGCUAGUAGGUGGGGUAACGGCUCACCUAGGCGACGAUCCCUAGCUGGUCUGAGAGGAUGACCAGCCACACUGGAACUGAGACACGGUCCAGACUCCUACGGGAGGCAGCAGUGGGGAAUAUUGCACAAUGGGCGCAAGCCUGAUGCAGCCAUGCCGCGUGUGUGAAGAAGGCCUUCGGGUUGUAAAGCACUUUCAGCGGGGAGGAAGGCGGUGAGGUUAAUAACCUUGUCGAUUGACGUUACCCGCAGAAGAAGCACCGGCUAACUCCGUGCCAGCAGCCGCGGUAAUACGGAGGGUGCAAGCGUUAAUCGGAAUUACUGGGCGUAAAGCGCACGCAGGCGGUCUGUCAAGUCGGAUGUGAAAUCCCCGGGCUCAACCUGGGAACUGCAUUCGAAACUGGCAGGCUAGAGUCUUGUAGAGGGGGGUAGAAUUCCAGGUGUAGCGGUGAAAUGCGUAGAGAUCUGGAGGAAUACCGGUGGCGAAGGCGGCCCCCUGGACAAAGACUGACGCUCAGGUGCGAAAGCGUGGGGAGCAAACAGGAUUAGAUACCCUGGUAGUCCACGCCGUAAACGAUGUCGAUUUGGAGGUUGUGCCCUUGAGGCGUGGCUUCCGGAGCUAACGCGUUAAAUCGACCGCCUGGGGAGUACGGCCGCAAGGUUAAAACUCAAAUGAAUUGACGGGGGCCCGCACAAGCGGUGGAGCAUGUGGUUUAAUUCGAUGCAACGCGAAGAACCUUACCUGGUCUUGACAUCCACAGAACUUUCCAGAGAUGGAUUGGUGCCUUCGGGAACUGUGAGACAGGUGCUGCAUGGCUGUCGUCAGCUCGUGUUGUGAAAUGUUGGGUUAAGUCCCGCAACGAGCGCAACCCUUAUCCUUUGUUGCCAGCGGUUCGGCCGGGAACUCAAAGGAGACUGCCAGUGAUAAACUGGAGGAAGGUGGGGAUGACGUCAAGUCAUCAUGGCCCUUACGACCAGGGCUACACACGUGCUACAAUGGCAUAUACAAAGAGAAGCGACCUCGCGAGAGCAAGCGGACCUCAUAAAGUAUGUCGUAGUCCGGAUUGGAGUCUGCAACUCGACUCCAUGAAGUCGGAAUCGCUAGUAAUCGUAGAUCAGAAUGCUACGGUGAAUACGUUCCCGGGCCUUGUACACACCGCCCGUCACACCAUGGGAGUGGGUUGCAAAAGAAGUAGGUAGCUUAACCUUCGGGAGGGCGCUUACCACUU
rnacentral:rRNA from 1 species